rnacentral:rRNA from 1 species
CGUAAACAAAGGGAAGCGAAGGGGCGACCUGGAGCAAAUCUCAAAAAUAACGUCUCAGUUCGGACUGUAGUCUGCAACCCGACUACACGAAGCUGGAAUCGCUAGUAAUCGCGAAUCAGAAUGUCGCGGUGAAUACGUUCCCGGGUCUUGUACACACCGCCCGUCACACCAUGGGAGUUGGUAAUGCCCGAAGUCAGUGACCCAACCGCAAGGAGGGAGCUGCCGAAGGCAGGACUGAUAACUGGGGUGAAGUCGUAACAAGGUACC